GCCGCAACUUUAAAGCCACUGAAGUGUACUUCAAUAUGAAAUUGGUCUUUCUUUGAAAUUAAUGAACAAGUUUCAUUUUCUUUUUAAAAAUGGAUUGAACCAGCAAGUUCAUUUACAUAUGAAUUUUAUUUUGAAGUAAACAAGGAAAUGUGGAAAUACUUUCGUGAAUUAAGUCAUUACAUUUGAAACAAGAGUGUAAAAGUCAUUUCAAUAUUUCAUUCAUUCCAUUGUAUUUCGUAGAAUCCUAAAUGUAUUUGUUCAAUAUUUAAAUAUCAAAUGUAGAUUAAAACUUAAAUUUGGUUUUCUUUUUCUGUGAAUUAACUAGUAUCCAAACAGGGUGCAGUAUGUGUGGCUUGAUUAGUAACAUUUUUGGUUGUAAACCUUGUUUAAAUGUAGGUAUUCAAAGAGGCUGAUACAGGCUGUUGAGGAUGAUGGAUUGGUGAACCAUGCUUUGGUGCGGGAUCUAGAUGAAGAUGCAAAGCGGUUGGAACAGUUUGGUGCUGAACUUGAAGUUGAUUGAGUGUGUAGUAAUCAUAUAAAUUUAAAUGGUGUUCAGCUUAGAUUUAAAUGAUACAGCAAUUCAUAAGCUUAUAUAGCUUUAUGAAAUUUGUAAGGUUUUUCCGUAGUUUAAAGUUACACUCUUUUAAUUCAUAAAUUUUUAAGAAAAGGUUUACUGAACCCUUUUUUUUGUUUCUAUUUUAUCCAAAAAAAAUGUGAGAAAAUAUUUUGAACUUUUAAAUGGAGCAAAUUGAAGAACUUUAUUGCAAUUUGGGUAGAAUAAUGAACCUAUUAUUUCUUGAGAGCAACAAGUUAUAUAUUUUUUUAAUUUUAAAUUUACAGUGCGUGUAAAGAGACUUUUUUAAUUUAUGUUUUUACAUGAUGCAUUGCUCUUCGCAUUUUAGCAUUGCUUCUUCUUCGCAUUUUGAUUUUUGUCUCUUUCUUUUAAGUGUAUCAGAGUGAUUGUGACUGUUUUAUUUGUUAUCUAAGCAGUUUUUACCACUGUUUUAAUAUUUGUGAUUGGUAAUAUAAGUUUUUUAAGAGUAACUCUCUUAAUGUAGGAAUCCGUAAUAUUUUAGUUUUUGGUUUUGUCAAUUUGAUUUAUUUAAUUUUCUUCAUCCUUAAAUUUAAUAAAUACAAAUUUGUUGCAAAUCUUAACUAAAAUAUGGUAAUUAUAUAAUAGAAAACUCAAAUUUAACAAGAGGAGAACAUAAGAUUGUUCAUUAAAAAAUGUCAUUUCAGGGGAUUUUUUUACAAAUCUCUAGUUGCAUGAGAUCAUAAAUUGAAUUAAAAUUAAAGAGAAUAUAGAAGAGAAGUUAUGGACAUCCGCAAUUCGCGGAAUUUGAAAAGGUCAUAAUAUUUUAGAUUAGAUGUCCAUUUUGAAACACCAAAAAAAAAAGAAAA
rnacentral:lncRNA from 1 species